UACGAAGGGGGCUAGCGUUGCUCGGAAUCACUGGGCGUAAAGCGCACGUAGGCGGAUUGCUAAGUCAGGGGUGAAAUCCUGGAGCUCAACUCCAGAACUGCCUUUGAUACUGGCGCCUUGAGUCCGGGAGAGGUGAGUGGAACUGCGAGUGUAGAGGUGAAAUUCGUAGAUAUUCGCAAGAACACCAGUGGCGAAGGCGGCUCACUGGCCCGGUACUGACGCUGAGGUGCGAAAGCGUGGGGAGCAAACAGG
rnacentral:rRNA from 1 species